UGGGGAAUUUUGGACAAUGGGCGCAAGCCUGAUCCAGCCAUGCCGCGUGCGGGAAGAAGGCCUUCGGGUUGUAAACCGCUUUUGUCAGGGAAGAAAUCUUCUGAGUUAAUACCUCGGGAGGAUGACGGUACCUGAAGAAUAAGCACCGGCUAACUACGUGCCAGCAGCCGCGGUAAUACGUAGGGUGCAAGCGUUAAUCGGAAUUACUGGGCGUAAAGCGUGCGCAGGCGGUUUUGUAAGACAGAGGUGAAAUCCCCGGGCUCAACCUGGGAACUGCCUUUGUGACUGCAAGGCUUGAGUGCGGCAGAGGGGGAUGGAAUUCCGCGUGUAGCAGUGAAAUGCGUAGAUAUGCGGAGGAACACCGAUGGCGAAGGCAAUCCCCUGGGCCUGUACUGACGCUCAUGCACGAAAGCGUGGGGAGCAAACAGAUUAGAUACCCUGGUAGUCCACGCCCUAAACGAUGUCAACUGGUUGUUGGGAAGGUUCCUUCUCAGUAACGUAGCUAACGCGUGAAGUUGACCGCCUGGGGAGUACGGCCGCAAGGUUGAAACUCAAAGGAAUUGACGGGGUCA
rnacentral:rRNA from 1 species